AUAAUUGUGCUUCAAUUCCUGUAAACAAGAAACCACAUUACCAUGUUCACAAAUAUUAGCUUACUACUUUGACAUAGUCAAUUCACACAAUUCAUUAGGAUUAUUUUCUUUACCAUGGAAUCAUUACCCAUUAUCUUCACAUCAUGCAUAACUCAAAAAAUAUAUAUGGCAUCUCAGCAUUAUUAUGAUUUUCCAAUUUCAUAUGAAUGACUGACUUUAGAAAUUAAUAAAUUGAAAUAAAUGGGUGAAGUAAAUCAGUCUAGAACUUAUACUAUAAUUCUUUUUAAUAAAAGUACAGUAAAUUUAUGGAAAAUAUAUCUUCUGACUCGAUCCUAAGAUGAUGAAUUUAAGAUAGGAACAAAUUCACCAAUCUUUGAAGAACAAACACUAUGGGUAGAAGGACCAAGAAGUAAAACAACUACACCAACAAGGAGCACAGGAACGUAUUACAAUCCUUCAUUUAACAAAAGAUGAAGUUGUUUGAGAAAAAAGUAUAAACAGAAUAGAAACCAUGAGACAGUAAAGACAUACUUGUGUGACCGAAUGCAGAAGUAUCUACCCACCAUACAGUAAAAACAUACUUUCGGCUCAUGUGAUUACAUUGGCCCAAAUAUCUGCCUACCAUACAUUGCAAAGUUGGAUGUUAUUAUUGGAUGCAUCCCAAAUCUAGAACAAAUCAUCUCUCAAAAGGGCAACAAAGCUUAUAAAAAAAUACAUCAGCUUGUAAAUCAUUUUAUACAGCAACAGUGCUAGCCUUUUCUUGCACACUAAAAAUACAUUUUUGGUGUGACAUUGGUCAUGUAAGUGGUGAAGUAUAAGCUUUUAUCUACAUUCAACUAUUAAUAACCCAUUAAAUAUUACCAAGUCAUAGUUUGGUGGUAGAGCAAUUGACUAAGCAUAAUAAUAAAUAUAUUUUUAAACACAUGAAAAGGGGACCGAUCGAUUACUUCUGACCCAGUGUAACCACUAGCUCCAAGAACACCAAUUCAAAUUAAUUUCUCCAGCUUCUGAGCUUUAACCUCGGGAAACUGCAAACUCUGUGGUGUUGAGGCAACCGAACCUCGAUCUAACGCACAUCUUCCUAAACUUGGAACACUUUGUCUCAUCCUAAAAUUCAAAGACAUCAAGAAGAAUCUCAUCUUUGUGCUCUGCAAACAAACUUAAAAUAACAAAUUUAAGGGGUGGGGCACUUUCCAAUUAGUUUGGUUGCUAAAAACAUAAACCACAUUUGCAAAAAUAUCAUCAAAGUAAUGGACAGUUGAUAAAGCUUUUAUCUUUAUCAACUUUUCAUUUUCAUUUCCAGGUUUCGAUUGGGCUGAGUCCAGCUGAGUUAUUAAAGUUUUGCUCGCAAAAAAUAGUAAUUUAAAUCCAUUGAAUCAAUAACCAAACACAGCUGAAUUUCGAGAAGAAAUACGAACCUGAACUUUCAAGAAACAUCCUCGAUCGUUACAAAUGGAACGAAAAGCCGCAAGUGAAGUCAUUCUCUACUGAAGAAACAAAACGAUUUAGAAUUGAAUGAAAUGGAAUUAGGUUAUUUCAAUGGCAUCCAUUGAUCGAUUCCGCAAAAUAACCAGAGAAUAGGAGAGAGAUGAACAACACUAACCUGUAAUUGUAAAGAGAUAGACGCAGGAGCUCACAGAGAAGGAGAGANNN
rnacentral:lncRNA from 1 species